CAAACUUUAAAGUUCCCUCUCACUUCAGGAGCACGUGACUGCAGGCAGGCAGGGCCCCUUAAGCCACCUGGCUACUGGAGCUAGGGACUCUGGAAUGGGUGUUUCGGGCCGGGGCGGCUUUCAGUCCCAAUUCCCCGCAGCUGGCAAACAAGCCCCUUGGCGUCACAUCUGAAGAUCACUUCUGGGACGCGCUAGGAUUCUGACUGAGUCCUCUUAGAAGGGCUUCCUGUCGCUUGUCCAGGAAAGUUAUGAGGCCCCAAGUGGGAACGUGGCUGAAGACCAGGCAGGGCCCCCAAGCCCCUGCGGCAGACUCUAGGGACCCGACAGUAGUCACACCGCCCUUCUCAACAAGACAGGGCCACACACUCGCUCUCGCGCUGUUCCUUUGAUUUAUUGUUUAGAAUGAAGGCUAAUUACAGUCACUAGCCUAGGACUCAAUUCCUCUCGAGGAAACGUCAACGGGAAGGAGGAUCAGCAAACUAACCUGAUUAAGUCUUCGUUCCAUUCCCCCUCCCCAUUCAGCUACACGAGAGACCCGAGAGGUUUCCAAAUGCCGCCCGAGGCGUGGAAAAGGGAGGGGAGAAGCACCCAGAGGACAGUCCUGCGUAAAGCCCGCUCCUCCCCUACCCCGCACGCCGGAGAGGCGGCCCCGCGCCGGGGGAGACGCAGUCUGGGUGCGCAGACUGCGCACUGCCCGCGGCUCCGCGGAGCCUCCCGGCUGCCGCCCACCGAACGUGCGCCCGCUCACGGCCGCCGGAAGACUCCGAGCCCCGGCCCGCACCUGGCGCCCCGCGUCCCCGGAGGCCCUCACCUUCGCCCACCGUCCGCUCCCACACUCCCUGAGGUUCGAGGCGCGCGCCCCGGGCUGCCGCGCACGUCUCGGCCCUCUACCUCCUUCCUAACACUCCGCCUGGCAGAGGAGGCAGAACCAUUGUUCAAUGCUCAGAAGCCCACAUACCUCAGCCCCUGUCAAGGGGGCGAGAAACGAGGCAAAGCAGCGGCUUUGGGGGAGGCGGUGUGAGGGAUCGAAGACUAGUUCAGGCGAGGCGUCAGGACACCCCAAACCCCACUGUUCCCCAAGCCCAGCUCCCUUUAGCCGCGGCGCUGACAGCUCAGAGGCGCCACCACUGAGGGGAGGGAGAGAAGGCAAGAGAGAGCCGAGAGGCGCCUCCUAGGAGGCGGUGGGCAAACGGAGACCUGCGCCUCGGGGUCUCCCGGUGCCCCGGCUGGGUCCCGGCCGCCGGCGGAGGGGCGCGUCCUCACUCACCGGUUCCGGUGGCGCCGCUCUCCCAGGGCGCCCAGCACAGCGCGAGCAGCAGCCAGAGCGCCCAGCGCGCGGACGUGCCCAUGGUGCCCGCCUGGAUGGUGCCGCCGCCGCCGCCGCCGCCGCCGUUCGCUCCGCACAACAAGUUACCAGCCCUUCCGAAAGGAGGAAGAAGGCUCCAAGCUUGAUAUAGAAGACUAUCAUACCCAGAGAGGGUAACUGAAACGAAAGAAAUUACUCCAGCAUCAAGCUAAAGACACGCCUUAAAGAAUGAGGAGGAGCAGAAAUCUUACCAGCAAGGCCAGAAAGAAGCUGUGCAUGAACAGGUGGCAGUAUGAGCAAUACUUAAUUCCCUGUUGUGAUUACUAGCACAUGAAACUUGUGAAGCACAUAGCCCCAACUAAAGGAUCUUGUGUUAUAAUUUUUCAAAGACUGUACAGUAGGCACACCAGCCAUACAAAUACUAGAAAUCAAGUGUUAUUUCUAAAGUAUCAUGCACUUUGGUGAUUAGCAACUCGGGGAGCCAUCGGCUGAAUUUCUUGAAGAAACCUCCAGGGAGUCAGCCAUAACUCUAAGGGUAAGGCAGCUUUCAAGAAGUGUGAUUCAUCUUCUGUAAGUAUUAGGGUCACCUAGUGCCACUCUAGCCCAGUCUGCAGCAGGUCACCUGGAAAUGAAAUUCUGAGACAUAAGAACUAGCAGGAAAAAUGUCCCACCUUGUUCAAAGGAUGAAGUCAAUUUAAAGGGAUGAGGAGAACACUGGCAGAAUAUUUUAAAUAUAUUAACUGAUUUUCCCCUUCUGGCAGCUCCUGUUGCCUCUGCUGCCUCCCCCAAACCCAUUUAGAUAUCAUUUGUUCUAUCAGGAAGAAGUUUCACCAGAGAGCAAGAAAAAAAGCCUUUUGAUUUUCCAAAGUCAAGACCCUGAGGGCACUUGGCAUAGAGACACUAAGCUGAACUGAUGUAAGGCUUCCCACCCCUUGUAGGACCUGAAGUUUUUCAGGUGUGCUGUGAGGACAGUGUUAGAGCUAGGGGAGGAAAGGGAACUGUUAGAUGCUGGUGGGGAGGAGGGAAGGGAAGGUGGAGGGGGAAGAGGAAGCAGAGACAGCUCUUAGAUGCUGGUGGCUCCCUUCUCCUCUGAGAAAAAGACUCUACACCCUGCUCCCCAGAGGAGAGGGUUGUGGACGACAGAACUCAAGAUGGAUUGGGGUUGUCAUCACCUCCAAGCAGAGCUCAAGAAGACUGCAAAAUCCACAACAGAAAUGGCUGAGUGGUAUCCAGGGGACAGAUGGUCGGAGCCAGCCUCAAAGAACUGAGUGUACCCCAGCACAGCUCACAAGUGUUAGAAUGAGUCUUCUGUGCCCAAAAGUCCCACCGGAAUAGUAAUGAAGGACCCACAGAGCUUCCUGGUGCCCCUGUGGCCUGAAAGCAGUGCAGUAAAGUUUCCUGUGCCAACAAGGGGCUUGGCAACAGUUGAGAGAAAAUGUGCCAUGUCUGAAGGAGUCUCAUGCUGGGGAACAGCUCAGUGGUGAAAACCCACCGGGAAUAAGGUCAUAUCAGCCAAGGCUGGUGCUGAGAUAGCAUCACAAAGAGAUGUGUGAUGCUAUCUCCACCCAUUGCUCUGGUACAGUGUAAGACCUCUGGAAACCAGUGAAAAGAGUGGGGGUGCAGAAUUGAGGGAAAUAACAUUCUAACACUGAAGAUAGGCUCAAAAUAGAUAAGUGGUUACAGAAAAAUAAAGUUUCACUUCUUGUACAAUUGAAUUUGUUGAUUGAGUCCUGAACCCAAAGUAAAACCAGUCAUUCAAUCAAUAAGUUAAUUUAAAAAAAAAUCAGUCAUACCUGACAAAACUAUUUAGCUCCUCCUUUCUGGAAUUUAGGAGAAUUGUAACAAUUCCCAAUCAAGAUUUGUCUUAACAGCCUAAUACAAAUCUUGACUAUUGCUGUGUAGUUAGUUUAUGUGCAGCCCCAGGCUCGUGGGUGUAGCUCAGCCUGCAUUGCUUAGUAAGUGCUGAUAUGUGGCUGGCACUCUUCUAGGAACUUCUACCAUUUUUCCUCAUUUAAUCCUUUAAAUAGUAUCUGUGAGACCACAUAUUAUUCCCACUUUACUGAUAAGUAAACGAAGACUCAACAAAGUGAAAUCUGAGAGAAUUCUAAUAAUCGUCAAACAUUUCCUUUGUGAAAGUUGGUUCCACAUUUUGGUGGGUAAUGCCCAGCACUUCCUUCCUUCUUUUCCAACAGUCUCUUGUUUUCCUGUGCAUUCUUCACAGGCCCUGUCCCACCUCUGUGCCUUUGCUCCAAAGCCCCUACUUCAGAUACUGCUCCUCUUCCUGUCCUUUUGACAUCUUCCCCAGUUUCUAAGGUGCAAUUUCAAUUUUGUCUGUUCCCUGACAGUUUUCCAAACCUCUCAGCUAUUAUUAUCUUAUUCAUCCUCAUGCUCCUUCAGCACCUCACACAUCCAUGAUAGCCCUUUAUCAAGUCACCUUUGUAUUGCAGGUUUUUGGUCACGAUAGUGUCAGCCGCUAAUUUGCAAACCCCAGAAGAGCUCCAUCUUGUGCAGCCCCAGCACCUACAAUGAAUGUAGCAUCCUAGGCUGGCAGGUAUUUUGGUGCCUAUUACAUAAUAAAGCCUUAACACAUAUUUGUCAAACUAAAUUAACUUAAAAUUCUAAAACACAUAGUUAGUGCAACAUGAGACAGAUGCUUACAAGAAUGUUUAAUUGGCAAUGUCUCUGAAUUCCUCACAAUUUUCUUCUUUACCCCUAACUUAUUUCAAUUUUUUUCAAACAUACAAACAGUUUAAAGACUCAUUCAUUGAACACCCGUGUAAUGACCACAGAGCUUCUAUAAUAUGCCCUCUAUUAUAUUUAUGUUAUAAUAUCUGUCCAUCUACUCAUCCUGCUAUCCAUCCAUCAAUAUGUAUUUUUUCCUCACUGCCUUUCAAAUACAUCCAACGUAUGAGAGACCUUUGACUUUGGAAUCAGAUCUCAGAUUAAUUCCUGGAUUCGGCACUUACUUGUUUUGUAACCUUGGGGGUGUUGCUUAACUUGAGUCUGUUUUCUCUUUGUAAAAUGGGGGUGAACAAUGAUGUCUACAUAGGUUGUGGUGAGGAAUAGAUGAGACUGUAUAUAAAGGGCCUGGCACAUAGUGUUUGUCCAAAAUAAAAGGACAGCAUAAAUAUUUGAACCAUCA